rnacentral:lncRNA from 1 species
UCGACGAGAAAACAACCAACAUGAACCGUCUAGUGCUCACUCUCACUCUGCUCGUCCUGGUCGCUGUGAUCGGACAAGCCAACGCUGUGGAGGAUACCGAAGUCUCUGCAGAAUACAAACAUGACGCGGUCAACGUGGAUGACGUGGUGGCGCCCCAUGCAGUCAGCAGUGCUGACGGUGAUGGACUCGAGGAGUCUAAACGAGGCUGUAUGGCGUGUCGCCCAGGCAGAAAGUAAACACAACUCUACCAUGCUUUGCCCUUGUUAAAUUGAUGAUUUUCUUUUAAAUUUCAAAAUAUAUUUCUGUCGCAUUU